rnacentral:snRNA from 1 species
UUGUUGUCAUCCUGAUGAGGG